rnacentral:lncRNA from 7 species
UCAUUUGAAGCUAUGGCUUUUUAAUAUGUGACACUCUCUUCUCUCUCAUUUCAGCCUACAGAAGUUGCUUCCCUUAUACUUUCAAAUGUCUUAAUGGAAAAUGCUUGUUGAAACCAAAUCCUGAAUGUGAUGGGAAAAUUGACUGCACAGAUGGAUCUGAUGAAGUGAACUGUGCUUGUGGAAGAAAUCUGUUUAAGAAAAACAGGAUUGUUGGAGGUGAAGAUGCACAGUCUGGAAAGUGGCCUUGGCAAGCAAGUUUACAAAUUGGAGCACAUGGACAUGUCUGUGGUGCAUCUGUUAUUUCCAAGAGGUGGCUUUUAUCUGCUGCCCAUUGCUUUCUGGAUUCCGAUUCCAUAAGAUACUCUGCUCCAUCAAGGUGGAGAGCAUAUAUGGGCUUACACACUGUUAAUGAAAAGAGCAAUCACAUAGCCAUGAGAUCGAUCAAAAGGAUUAUUGUCCACCCACAGUAUGACCAAUCUAUCUCAGAUUAUGACAUAGCCCUGUUGGAAAUGGAGACACCUGUAUUCUUCAGCGAGCUGGUCAUCUUGCUGGAACACUGCAGGAAGCUAGAGUGAGAAUAAUUAAUCAAAGCAUUUGCAGCAAGCUGUAUGAUGAUCUCAUCACAUCACGCAUGCUCUGUGCUGGGAACCUUAAUGGUGGCAUUGAUGCAUGCCAGGGAGAUUCUGGAGGUCCCUUGGCCUGCACAGGAAAGGGAAAUAGAUGGUACCUUGCUGGCAUUGUGAGCUGGGGUGAAGGAUGUGCGCGACGCAAUCGUCCUGGUGUAUACACUAAGGUGACAGCACUUUAUGACUGGAUUCGUCAGAAUACAAACUGAUGUGCCAAGGAGAAAAUGCAGAUCAUCUUCAUUACAAAAACUGCUUCCUACAUUAUCAAGUACAUGAACAUGCUGCUGGCUGUUUCACUGUGGAAAAAAAAGCACUACCUUAAUGCAGAAAUGAUCAUUUGUCAUUCACCUAGUGGUAACUGUUUGGAUUCAGACCCAACUUCAAAUAGCUUCAGGUUCCUUAUGGAUUCAUACAUCUUAUUCCCUACCAGUGGAAACAGAGUUCCCUUACAAAUUAAAUUUGAAUCUGGGAAAAAAAAAAAAAAAAAGUCCAGCCAAAUUGUUUUGGUAGAUCUUCUUCCCUCCUUCCACCUCUGAGAUGUAUGUGCAUCUCUUUUGCUAUCUACCUUUGCAUAGGCAUAUACGGAUAUUCAUGCUCACAUCCCAUAUAUACUCACAUAUAUUCCCUUAUUGAUGUUACAGGAUUCUAAACAUGAAUAAUUCCUUUGAUUUUUUUUUUCCAAACUACAAAUAAUAUGAUCAGUAUAGUAUACAGAUUUGAGAUGAAUUUGUGCUUUAGUUUUGCUGCCACUUCAUGGCUGUUCUUUUCUGGGCUGUAAUUUCUGGACUGUCUUCUCCUGUGCUUUUCCUAAAAUCACCAAAUACUUAGCUCACAAAUGUUAUGAUGGGAAAAAAAAAAGUUAAAAAAAAAAAUGGAAGAGCAUCAUUAUGUUCUUGGAAUAGUAAAUAAGAGGAAAUAAAUACUGAAUUUUAAUUAAUUAAACUAAAGAAAACUGCAUGUAAAAAUGCAUCGUGAAUUAUGCUUUUUUAAAGUUCCUAGGGAAGACCUCGUAAGCUAUCAGUUCAUCAGCAAAAUGUCAGGAAUUUAGAAUACUGUCUCAUUCCUAUCACUAAAGGCUGCAAGUACGUAUUUGUGCAUGUAACUGAUUAAGAUAAAUCUGUAUAUUUGCCAUCAUUAAUAAUUGUUAAUACCAAGGCUAUUUAUUAAUUGCCUUCUUUGAUGUUAGGCUGUGAUGAAAUCGCCUAAACCAGAAUGAUUUCCUUUAUAGAGGCACUGGCAAUCAGAUCUCAACUGCAGGGCACUCUGGAGUGUAAGUUGGUUUGUAUCCAAGACAUGACUAUCUUCUUUUUUUUUUUUUUUCCUCCACCUCCAAGCAGCUGAGGGCUCACUUAGCACCCAUGCAGAAAGUGGUAGGUGGCAACUGUAGUGGAACUGUGUUGUGUUGUAUCAGUCUUCAAACCAGCAUAACAUUGGUCUCUGGGUCAUAGAAGGCCAAUGUCUCAGUGGCUUCAGUGGGUGCUAGAAAACUGCACAUCCACCUGCCUAAAAUGAAAGGCUACAGCUGCCUGAGGAGAGAAGGUUCCACAUGAGCAAGCCUGGAUAAAAUGCACAGUGGCAUUCCUCUGGGAACAGUUUGCAAGCAACCUGUUUCAGGACUACUGCUUUGCCAGGAAGUCUUUCUUGUUGAAUCCAGUUCUUCUAGUAAAAGCAAACAAAAUCUUGCAGCUCUGAGACUCUCCUGAUGAACGUGGACACCUUCCUCAGUCUUUAUUGCUUUCUUACCUUCUCUUUACACUGAGAAAACACUUCUAGGGUCUAAUGUCUCCAAUGCGUAACAAGUGGAUUUUCUCAUCUCUGGCUCCAGCAUGCUCCGUGUAUUUUGACAUUCUUCUGGUGGGUUUGUGCUGCUUUCCUUUAGGUCCUCGGUCUGCAGUGAAUCGAGUUUCAAGGUCAUGUUCUCUGUUUUGUCUCUUUUCCUGGCCGGAAGAAAGGGUUGUGCCUGUAUGGCCUCACUGCUCUGAAAGAGAUAAAAAAGGAAUUAAGAGGUCCUUGGUCUCAAUGAAAGUAGAGGAAAUGACAGCCACGCUUCUGUCAUAAGAUCAUUGUUUCAAUCUUAGCAGUAUUUAGCUUCGAAAACUAUAACCUGUGAUGAAGCCUGUAAGCCAAAUCUACCCGAUUUAAAGAUUCCAAAGCUGUUUAUGAUAUUUAAUAAUUCUGGCAUUCAGUUUAAUAAAAGAUCUGUCUGCAUUUUCUAGAAGGUCUUAGAAUCGUGCUGCGUAUUUGGAAGUGCUUAGCUUUUAAAACAGGUGAAAAAGAUGAAGCUGGCAACUUGAAUAUCAGUCCUUUCAGGUCACAGCAUGCUUUUUUUCUAGAGCACAUAAAUAUGUGGUUCUUGUUUAGCCACUAGUCUUUGGGAAAAUGUGCGAAUGAGUUAGUACUGUAAUUUUCACACAGUGUGCUUCCUGUGUCUAACAGGGAUGCUGCCUCUCCAUCCUUUCUUGCUAUGGUUUUGGGCAUUCCCCUCGCAGCUACCCCUGCAGCAAUUCUUGUGUUAAGCUUCCUGCCUAAACGAUACUCAAAUUAUAUUCUGUAGGGGGUUUAGUAACUAUAAAGGCGUAAGUCAUUCACUUCUUCUUUUUCAAUAAACACAUGAU